rnacentral:rRNA from 1 species
ACAGCAGUCGCCGCGGUAAUACAGAGGGUGCGAGCGUUAAUCGGAUUUACUGGGCGUAAAGCGUGCGUAGGCGGCUUCUUAAGUCGGAUGUGAAAUCCCUGAGCUUAACUUAGGAAUUGCAUUCGAUACUGGGAAGCUAGAGUAUGGGAGAGGAUGGUAGAAUUCCAGGUGUAGCGGUGAAAUGCGUAGAGAUCUGGAGGAAUACCGAUGGCGAAGGCAGCCAUCUGGCCUAAUACUGACGCUGAGGUACGAAAGCAUGGGGAGCAAACAGGAUUAGAUACCCCUGUAGUCCCUGUCUCUUAUAU